rnacentral:rRNA from 1 species
CCAUAGCGACUAUCGUGGCAUAUCAAUAAGCGGAGGAAAAGAAACUAACAAGGAUUCCCUUAGUAACGGCGAGUGAAGCGGGAAGAGCUCAAAUUUGAAAUCUUCAAGGUUUUACCUUGACGAAUUGUAGUUUAAAGAAGUGUUUUCUGUUGGAGUUUUGGUAAAAGUUCUUUGGAAUAGGACAUCAUAGAGGGUGAGAAUCCCGUAUUUGACCAUUAUUUCCAGCUGUGUGAUACACUUUCAAAGAGUCGGAUUGUUUGGGAAUGCAGUCCAAAAUGGGUGGUAAAUUUCAUCUAAAGCUAAAUAUUGGCGAGAGACCGAUAGCGAACAAGUACCGUGAGGGAAAGAUGAAAAGAACUUUGAAAAGAGAGUUAAACAGUACGUGAAAUUGUCAAAAGGGAAGCGUUUUGACACCAGUGUUGUUUAGUUGAAAAUCAAUUCAAUAAUUUUUGAUUUUGAGUAGUAUUGACUUCAUCAGCUUGCUGCUUUCUUUUCGGAAAUUAUUGAAUGCACUUUUCAGUUAACAAGUCAACAUCAAUUUUCUUUUGUUGUAAAAGGGUCAUUGAGGAAGGUGGCUUUACGCUUUCGGAGUAAAGUGUUUAUAGCCUUUUAUCCUCUGCAACUCGGAGAGACUGAGGUACAUGCAGCGUAGACUCCUUCGGGGGUUAGAUACACUUUGUGCUAAGCUAUAGCCUUUGUAUAGACAACUUGUUGACUAUGAUUUAGUCAUUGUAGGCUUACUCGCUUGAUGCUAUUUUACCUACGCUUAGGAUGUUGAUAGUCACAGCGUGUAC